AGUGAACGCUGGCGGCAGGCCUAAUACAUGCAAGUCGAACGGCAGCACAGCAGAGCUUGCUCUAUGGGUGGCGAGUGGCGGACGGGUGAGGAAUACGUGGGAAUCUGCCCAGUCGUGGGGGAUAACGUAGGGAAACUUACGCUAAUACCGCAUGCGCCCUUCGGGGGAAAGCCGGGGACCUUCGGGCCUGGCGCGAUUGGAUGAGCCCACGUCGGAUUAGCUAGUUGGCGGGGUAAAGGCCCACCAAGGCGACGAUCCGUAGCUGGUCUGAGAGGAUGAUCAGCCACACGGGAACUGAGACACGGUCCAGACUCCUACGGGAGGCAGCAGUAGGGAAUAUUGGACAAUGGGCGCAAGCCUGAUCCAGCCAUGCCGCGUGAGUGAAGAAGGCCCUCGGGUUGUAAAGCUCUUUUGUCCGGAAAGAAAAGCGCCGGGUUAAUACCCUGGUGUCCUGACGGUACCGGAAGAAUAAGCACCGGCUAACUUCGUGCCAGCAGCCGCCGUAAUAC
rnacentral:rRNA from 1 species